rnacentral:lncRNA from 1 species
UCGCUUCAUAGAAGGGGAUGUUGAUUUGAAUCUUUCUCAACAUCUCCUUAAAAAAAUUUGAACUGCUCCUUUUUUUCAUCCUUAUUUUUGGGUUUUUAUUUCAAAAAAGGGUAAGGCACCUUUAUGCAAUCAGGAAGAACAAGGUUAGGCUCAGUGAGAAUUUGUUUCUUGGUUAUCCUCCAUGGUGAGUUUUUAUCUAUAAAUUGGUGAAAACACCAACCUUUAAUCUCAUCAUUUCUCUCUUUCUCAAUAUUUUU